GACGAACGCUGGCGGCGUGCCUAAUACAUGCAAGUUGUGCGAUGAAGAUUGGUGCUUGCCCCAAUUUGAAGAGCAGCGAACGGGUGAGUAACGCGUGGGGAAUCUGCCUUUGAGCGGGGGACAACAUUUGGAAACGAAUGCUAAUACCGCAUAACAACUUUAAACAUAAGUUUUAAGUUUGAAAGAUGCAAUUGCAUCACUCAAAGAUGAUCCCGCGUUGUAUUAGCUAGUUGGUGAGGUAAAGGCUCACCAAGGCGAUGAUACAUAGCCGACCUGAGAGGGUGAUCGGCCACAUUGGGACUGAGACACGGCCCAAACUCCUACGGGAGGCAGCAGUAGGGAAUCUUCGGCAAUGGACGAAAGUCUGACCGAGCAACGCCGCGUGAGUGAAGAAGGUUUUCGGAUCGUAAAACUCUGUUGGUAGAGAAGAACGUUGGUGAGAGUGGAAAGCUCAUCAAGUGACGGUAACUACCCAGAAAGGGACGGCUAACUACGUG
rnacentral:rRNA from 1 species